UACGUAGGGUGCAAGCGUUAAUCGGAAUUACUGGGCGUAAAGGGCUCGUAGGCGGCCAACUAAGUCAGACGUGAAAUCCCUCGGCUUAACCGGGGAACUGCGUCUGAUACUGGAUGGCUUGAGAUUGGGAGAGGGAUGCGGAAUUCCAGGUGUAGCGGUGAAAUGCGUAGAUAUCUGGAGGAACACCGGUGGCGAAGGCAGCUCGCUGGGACGGUACUGACGCUGAGACGCGAAAGCGUGGGGAGCAAACAGG
rnacentral:rRNA from 1 species